rnacentral:rRNA from 1 species
GACGAACGCUGGCGGCGUGCCUAAUACAUGCAAGUAGAACGCUGAGGUUUGGUGUUUACACUAGACUGAUGAGUUGCGAACGGGUGAGUAACGCGUAGGUAACCUGCCUCAUAGCGGGGGAUAACUAUUGGAAACGAUAGCUAAUACCGCAUAAGAGUAAUUAACACAUGUUAGUUAUUUAAAAGGAGCAAUUGCUUCACUGUGAGAUGGACCUGCGUUGUAUUAGCUAGUUGGUGAGGUAAAGGCUCACCAAGGCGACGAUACAUAGCCGACCUGAGAGGGUGAUCGGCCACACUGGGACUGAGACACGGCCCAGACUCCUACGGGAGGCGGCAGUAGGGAAUCUUCGGCAAUGGACGGAAGUCUGACCGAGCAACGCCGCGUGAGUGAAGAAGGUUUUCGGAUCGUAAAGCUCUGUUGUUAGAGAAGAACGUUGGUAGGAGUGGAAAAUCUACCAAGUGACGGUAACUAACCAGAAAGGGACGGCUAACUACGUGCCAGCAGCCGCGGUAAUACGUAAGUCCCGAGCGU